GGAGUGCACACAAAAAAAUAAUUUAGGAUAAUAAAUACAAAUCUGUUCUUGCAAAAGAACCCCUCAAAUAUGUUGUACAGUUUAAUUAGGAAUCAUAUUUAUUUGGUUCUGUAAUUAAACAAUACUUGCAUGUUAUGAAAUUUAAUGUGAACAGUAGGACAAAUGACAUUUAAAGUUUUCAAUGCCUCAGUCUGGCAGAUACGAGUGCAGUUUCAUAUAUUGUUAUCACAUGUUCUUUGCGCAGAAUGUCAGUGUGAUAAUGACCCUGUCAUGGUCAGUUACAAUCAGGUUAAUUACCACACCUGAAGGUGUUACGCAACUGGGUAGCUUUGACAAGCAAAUGGGUGGGUAUAAAAAGGCAUGCAAUUACAAAAAUACGUAAUGACGUACAAUGGCUGCUUUGGCGAAUGGAAGAAUUCGGAGAGAGCGAAUUUUCAGAGACAAGCAAGAUUUACUGGCAGAUGAUGUGCUGCUUAUGAGCCGGUUCCAAUUACCAAGAGCUGUUCGCUUGGAUCUCUGUGCUGUAGUGGGACCAGCUUUACAGAGAAACAACCUCAGAAAUCAAGCCGUGCCUGUCCCACUUCAAAUCCCGACAACCCUCCGAUCUCUGUCAACAGGCACUGUUACAUACACCUCUUAGAGGGAAUGCAACGUCCUGCUACACUAAACUCCCUGUGGAGUGAAAGAGGCGACAGUGGAUAUCCCCUCAAGUGGUGGCUGCUCACCCUUUUCGCCAACCCACAGAGCGCAGAGGAGAGGAACUACAACGUACGCCAUUGCCACGUACGCGCUGUUGUGGAGCGGGCUUCUGAAGGGCAGAUGGUGCUGCCUCGAUUCCUCAGGCAACCAAAAAGAAGGCACUGGCUGUCGUUGACGAACCCUCCCACCCUCUACACCCUCAGUCACGAGAGGCUUUCUUCGGGCCAGUGCUUCAGAACGCCCAUGGCCAAGAAGAAUGUGUUCAAACAUUAAUUUGUUCCUUAUGCUGUUGGACUACUAAAAAAGUAAAGUAAAUUAUAUUGGUAUCUGGACGUAUCUAGUGCAGUUGGGACAGUGGUUGUUGUGAGUGAAUGUAUUAAUGUCCUCUGUUGUUGUGUAUGCAACAUGAUGCACUGACUGGUUUAAAUGUGUAUGAUGUGAGAAUGUAUGUGUAUGUGAUUGUUUUAAUGAAGGUGAUGCCAAAGAAAAAUGGCCUUCCUGGAUGGACAAUAAAGUUUUAUUCAAUG